GUUCACUAGGCCAUGGGAGGUGAAUGAAUGGAUUGCCUGGACGUUGGGCCAAAGUUCCUUGGGAGAAAGACCCGGUACUCCAAAACCACAAUCCAAAUGUUCUAUGAAAUCCCUAAAGACAGGUUCAGAUGUAGAAAACCGAAACUCACCUUCAGGAGUCAAAACGACCAUGAACGGAAACUGCUGGUGUAACAACCGCACAUCAUCGUCGUCAAUACGCUACCGGCGGCGUAAAACUGCUCGCGCCUCAACCGUGCAUCAUCGCCGUCGAUGCGUCUUCGCCAGAGUGGAACGGUUUGCGUAAUGUCGUUACCAACACGUCGUCGGAGUGAAGUUGACGUCCACCUUGAUCAGAUCCGUAAUCAAGCGAUGUGUUCCACUUUCUACUUCUCUUUCUUCGUAUCCUCCUUCGUCACCAGAAGAAUCACACGAACCCGCGUGUUUGAGCCGUGUUGUUGUUGUUCGUCGUGGCGCGUCGUUGACCGUAACGGAGAUGAAGGCGUUUGAUUUUUGACCGCGAUUUCGUCGUGACCGCACCGUUGUGAAUUGGUGAAGGUUUGAUGAAGGUGGAGAUUACGGUUUCGGUUACGGUUUUGGUUGGUUGCAGUUAUGAUGAAGAGGAGUUCUUGGAUGGAUUCACGGUGGUUGAAGGUUUGGGUUCAAUGAUUCGAAGAGUUUGUGAUGAGGUUGAAGAAUUGAAUAGGCGAUGGAGGAAGAAAAGGAGAAUCCCGGAAAAAUUGUAGAGAGGUUGUUGAAGAUCUUGUGAAGGUGGAGAUUACGGUUACGGAUCCGUAGUGGUGAAGGUGUGGAUUGGAAGGUGAAGGUUGAUGUUGAAGAAGAUUAUGUUUAUGGAAUUUGGGGUUUGGUGAAGGUUUUGACGAAGAAGUUGGAAGUGGAUUGAGAGUGGAGGUGGAGAAGAAUGGUGAAUUGUUGAAUUAUGGGAAAGAUGAUGGAAGAAAAAUUGAAUUGAAGGUGGAGGAUGGUUCUUAUAGGAGAGUAAGGUUAGAGAGAUGGUUGGUUAUGACAGUUGGAAGUUGUUAUGAGAGUUGAAGGAGGAUGAGGAAAAUAGGUUCUGAAGGUGUUUUGAAGUUGGAUUUCUAUCUUGUGGAGUUAGUUAUUCUGUUAUGAGGCGGUUAUGGCACUUGGCAGGUUAGUUACCGAGUCGGUUCUCACACGAAGUUAGUCAUGGUUUCAGUGAGUGUUUCCAAUUCUCUAUUAUGCUAUGCUUCUAUUUUGCCUCCUUUCCACUGUUAUGCUUUUGCUUUCUUUUAUGCAGGUUUUGUUAGAAGGUUUGUGUAUUAGCUGCGCUUUGCUUGCGGUUUACCGGCUUGGCUCGCUUGUGGCUUGUUUGGCUGGGCAGCAGAAUUUUGAUGCAUUUUAUGCAGAAUUUCUACAUGCCUUUUAAUGCAGAAUUUUGAUAAAUGCAAUGCAGAAUUUUGGUUGUACUUGAUGCAGAAUUUUAUGCAGAAAAGAAUUUUUGUAAUGCUGAAUUUUGAUGAUGCAGAAUUUUAAUGCUGUUUUAUGCAGAAUUUUGGAUGUGUUGCUGUUAAAUGCAAUGCAGAAUUUUAUGCAGAA